rnacentral:siRNA from 1 species
ACUUUUUCAGUGAACGAGCA